rnacentral:misc_RNA from 1 species
CUGUACUGUGUGGCUACGGUACUGUACUGUGUGGCUACGGUACUAAAGAAUAUGGCCACCCCCUCUCUUCCCGUGGGUGUCGUAAGAGGCGACUGAGGGAUAACACGGUUCCGCUACCACUUUGGAACUUAAAAAGCCGACCGGUGGCGGGAUAACCAUCCAACUGCUGGCUUUGAAAUACACAGGCCGAAGACGGGCAGCAGCGUCUUCGGUGCGACAAAGCCAGUACUGCGGUCACCAACCCGCCUGCCCAGCGCGGUGACUAUGGGCAAAACACAUGAGUUCAGGUUAUUUUUG